ensembl:lncRNA
GGAACAGCAACGGUCCCCCCAAACCAGGUAAUCCGCAGGUGUGGACCAGGACCUCAUCUCCUUCUAAAAUUUAAAAUUGGAGGAAACUGAGAAAAGUUAGUAGUACAUCCCUCAUGUCCCCCAGCACAAUAAUAUAGCAGCGUAACACCUUGGAAAAUCUAUCUGAAUAUGGCUUGUUUAACGAGAGACAAUUCAGCAUUGUGUCUCUGCCUAUGUAAGCAGAUAUCUCUGCUUUGACAGCCUGCUUGGAUCUGCCAUGUGCUGACGGGGCAACUGACAAUUAAGCUACUUCGUUUUUUAAAGACAUAGUCACAUUGUGUGCCCUGAGGCAGCAAAGCAGAGAAUGAAUGGACCAAUUAAAUAUAUUCAGUGUUGAACCAUCAAGAGGCUCUUCCUUUCCUGCCCUCUUCUCUCACCAGAGUCAAUGAAGUGAGGUCUAAAUAACCAAUCAGCACAAACCGUCGCAGACUGAAUGGGAAGAGGUACGUUUCUGGUGGAGUUGCCCUUGUUCUGAAGACACACGGUCAUGAUGAUGAGUACAACGGUGUCUAUUCUUUGGAAUUGCUGUGUUUUGGAGACUUAAGAUAUUCUACCUUUCAACCCUCAUGUCUCGUCUGACCAAAGACAACAGUGUGUCAACAAAAAGGUUCAUGUUGACAUUGUGCAGCACAUUAGGAUACUUAGCAUCUUUCAAAAAUAACCAAUGGCAAAAACACCCAGGGCAUUUAAAAAAAAAUUACAUCCUAACACACACACAGAUUCGACAGCAAAUCGAAAUGAGUAAAAGACGAAAUGGAUUAGUCCAUUUAAACCAGUCCCUUUCCUAAUCCUGCAGGGUUCUUAUUAUUUCAGCCAAUAGCAGUAAAAUGUGUGCAUAUUACUUAAAAUGGGUCCCUGUUUUUUGGGUACUGUCUUUCUGUCACCAAUUUGGAUGAUUUGAUACUUAAAAAAAGAACAAAUUAAAUACAACUUCCAAAAACUGUUUGAGUGCUCAGUUGACCCUAACCUGACAUUUAAGGCGGGUAUCCCAGAGAUAGAUAAAGCCCAAUCCUGGGGUAAAACAUUUUAUUCACUGAAAAUUGAUUUAGGCAUAAUCUGUGACCGACCCAGUGAAUAUGAAAAAUGAAUAUCCAAUUACUGUUUAACCCAGACUCCUUUACAGUUGCCCUCCCAACUCCCAUUGUUGACAAAGUCCAUUACUACCACAGAUAACAUCACAUAGUUAUGGAAGAACCUAUUCAGAGAUCUCAUAUCAAUUUCAGAUUGAAUGUUCCAAAAAUGUGCCCAUGUUAAUUUGAUUUGUAUUAUUUUUCAAUUAUCCUGGAUGGUGUUGUGUGAGAUCACACGUGACCUCUGCGGAGAGAGUGCGAGAGCCAUUAAGUAGGAGGUCAGAGGAACAAAACUCCUGGCUUAAUCUCUCUUAGUCUCAUCUCAAGUCAAUGAGGCAGAGAAUAAUUCCUGUUGCAGCCAACCAGCCCUAAUGUUUUGUCUACCCAAUUGCAUCGUUAAGAUCAUUUUGCGAACAAAUGAUUCCAGAACUUUUGAUGUUCUCUCGUCAUGACUCACUGUCAUUACUGUGGUAAAAAAAAAAUAUGGGUAACAAGGAAACAAUAUUAAAAGCAGGUGGAAUGAGUAACAAAGAUUCACAUUGCUGAAGGGCACCUUAUUAAUUUUUAUUUCUCUCUUUCUGUAUCUCCAUCUUUCUUUGUGCAAGCUGUCAUUUUACAUUUGAGUCAUUUAGCAGAUGCCCUUACCAAGAGCAAUUUAACUGUAGUGAGUGCAUAAUUUUUUUCUCUUGCACUGGUCUCAUGUGGGAAUCAAACCCACAACCUUGCGUUCUAAGGGUUAUGCUCACGCCUCUUAUAUUCCUAUUGGUGUCAUUAUUGUUGUCCGACUUUAUUUUUCUCUUUCCUACAUUGUGAGUUUUCCAGGCUUCCUUUUCUCUCUCCUUUUCUCAUCCCUCCUCGCCCCUCGAUCUUCAGCCCUUCAGCUGCUUUCACAUUUUGCCUCCUGUAACACAAUCUCUUGCCACUACCAUUCUCCUCCUCACUGCUGCCCACUAAUGAGGCACCGGGUGUAUCUGAGGUUCCCCUGCGAUUCAUUAGUUUGGCCACUGGCCUCUAUGUGCCUGGGUGCCACCCCCGGACAAGAGCCCAUGAAAAUGCCAUGCCCGCGGGCAAGGUCUAAGCAUUAAGAUGUGUCAUCCGACCCCUGGGCAAGGAUGGCACUGCCACAUCAGUGGCCAGAGACUUGCUUGAGAAUAAAUAUUCAUCCAGAUUCUGUGUUGUUGGCCUCAUUAAAAAAGGCUCAAUACAAACAUUGGCUGUCUGUUGUACUCAUUGGAAUAUUACAGUAUAUGUUUUGGAAAUUUUAAUUGGUGAGUUGUAGUCUGACAGUCUCUUUUCGUCUUAUAGAAAGCUAUUUGACAUCCUGAAUCAGGAUCUUUUAAACCGUAUUUUAUCAGAUAUGUCCUUUAAAGAUAUAUUUCAGGCAUUUAAAGUUCUGUUAGACUGAGACAGUGAGGAAAGAUACAGGAGAGUGUUAUGUUAAAAGAUGUGCCAGAUUUGAGCCCACCCUGCAGCAGAUUGGACCACUGCACAACCCUAGGGCAACCAAGAACAGUAGGUUGACCACAAACACAUUCUGAUUACGUUUACCUGCCUCGCUCAGGAACAGAACAACACAUUGUUAACCUUGCUGACAUAUUCAAUUUUGCAACCUUUUCGUUGGUUAGAUGCUCUGAGAAAGUGUUGUUAUAUUACUCUCUCGCUGCAGCGUGGUGGUCUCGGUAGACUGAUGCAGUGUCAGAAGGGGCAUGAUUGACAGCCUGCUGUCAGAGCAGGCCACUCCACAGGACGACAGAUUGGAUCGAUAGCAAUGAAACUGGAGUGCAGUUUAUGGCUACACGGCUGUCGUGCAGUAGAUGUGUCCUUCUCCAUCAAGGGGAACAGGGGUUGUCACGGUAGCAGGGUAGGCAGUACACAAGGCACAAAGUAGACUUGAAUUGGGGACAAUCAAAAGAGGAGUGCAGAGAGAGCCAGGACCUGACAGGGAGCAGCUCGUGGUGGAGGCCAGAAGAAAAUGACCAGAGAAGGCUGCCCUACAGGUGGUGGAGGAAGACAACCAAGAGUUGGAGGGUACCUCAGCAGCCGCUGAAGUUGCAAACACUAGCAUCCAUUCCUCCAAAAUCCCCAGCAGGAGGCCACCCAAGAGUUGAUGCAGACUCUGCUAAAAGGGGGUUUGAUGGUUGCUUUUGGUU